GUUAAUGCUAUGGAGGGUAUAGAGAUGUGUUGUGUUGACUGGUUAAUGCUGUGGAGGGUAUAGAGAGGUGUUGUGUUGACUGGUUAAUGCUAUGGAGGGUAUAGAGAUGUGUUGUGUUGACUGGUUAAUGCUGUGGAGGGUAUAGAGAGGUUGUGUUGACUGGUUAAUGCUAUGGAGGGUAUAGAGAUGUGUUGUGUUGACUGGUUAAUGCUGUGGAGGGUAUAGAGAUGUGUUGACUGGUUAAUGCUAUGGAGGGUAUGGAGAUGUGUUGACUGGUUAAUGCUAUGGAGGGUAUAGAGAUGUGUUGUGUUGACUGGUUAAUGCUGUGGAGGGUAUAGAGAUGUGUUGACUGGUUAAUGCUGUGGAGGGUAUGGAGAUGUGUUGACUGGUUAAUGCUAUGGAGGGUAUAGAGAUGUGUUGUGUUGACUGGUUAAUGCUAUGGAGGGUAUGGAGAUGUGUUGACUGGUUAAUGCUGUGGAGGGUAUAGAGAUGUGUUGUGUUGACUGGUUAAUGCUGUGGAGGGUAUAGAGAGGUGUUGACUGGUUAAUGCUGUGGAGGGUAUAGAGACGUGUUGACUGGUUAAUGCUGUGGAGGGUAUAGAGAGGUGUUGACUGGUUAAUGCUAUGGAGGAUAUAG
ensembl:lncRNA